rnacentral:lncRNA from 1 species
CAUACGAGUGACUCUUCCUGUUGAGCCGCGUCACUGAUUACCUAGCGAGAAAAUUAACAAGAUGAAUGGUUGCCUAGCCGGGGGAAUCGUUUCCUCGGCAUAAAGCCUGCCCAAAUUAACCGAUACCCGUUAUCCGUAUCCGAAUUACCGGAUCCGAACCCGAAUUACCCGAACCCGUGGUACCCAAUCCUAAAUUUGGAUAGCGAUUUUGAUUACCCGAAAUUAGUUUGGGUAAUUCGGGUAAUAUCCCCCCGGUAUCCGAACUACCUAAAUAUUUGUCUGUCUUUGUACUCCCUCUAUAUGAGAAAUAAAAGACGUCAUGUGUUUGAACUCAAUUGCUAAAAUGAAAGACGUCCACUGGUUUUAGCUGGCUUUUGGACGCCGUUGCCCUUGCCUCUUGGGUUCCCGAGCCGCAGCCAGCAAUUACUACGACAUGCACCGGCAGCCAAUACGAACGCGUCGUAAAAAAAGUUGGGACCAGCAGGGGUUGAACCCAAGACCUCUACUGAACAGAGCUAGCCAGUUGGACUAUGUUAGUUUAAUGUAUAUAAUGCACCCGCAGAGUUAUUUAAUAGGGGUUAAUUGGGAAAACUAACCCCUAAUUGAUGACACCUUGGUAAUCACACUCAUGUUCUAAACGUCUUUUAUUUCUGAUAUGAAGGGAGUAUUUAUCAUGUGUUGUUAGUUAAAUAGUAGAACUUAUCAAUUUAUUAGAACAUAAUUCUCUUUUGUUUGAACAAGUGAUAGUAAUAUAUUAUUCUCUACAAAAUGCUAUUGAAAUUCUAUAUAAAUUACUGCUAAAAUUAUAUAUAAAUUGCUAUUGAAAUUUUCUGUAGUGUGUUGUUUUAUGAAAAUUCGGGUAAAUUGGGAAUACCUGAACCCGAACCUGAAUUAUCGGGUACCCGAAAUUGCGGGUAGUGUUUUUUUUACUAAUAUCGGGUAACAAUUUUUAUUACCCGAGUUUUAAAUUACCCAAAUUACCCGAUCCGAAAAAUAAAAAAUAAAAUUAAUUGAGUAAAAUAAAUAUAGUAAAAGAACAAAGAAAAUGAAACGAAUGACAAAAAUCCAAAAAAAAGAAAAAGGAAAAAAUGAAUGAAAAGAAGGAAAGAAAAUGAAAACAUACAAUAAAAAAUUGAAAAUAGAAAAAAACAGAAUAAUAAAAAUGCCUUGAAUACUUAUACCAAUUGAAGGCGUUCUACCAAAACGCCUUAAAUAGGGUAGCAAUAGGAGGCACUUCACCAAAACGCCUUGAAAACCCAUAGCAAUUGGAGGCGCCACCACAAUGUACGUCUUCUUAAGUUCGUAGUCACGUGAUAUGUACAGAGUAUAUGCGUCAUCCAAAUCACCUGCCCCAUCUCUUCUUCUUCCGCACCCAAACUCUACCGCACGGAUCCGCGGCUGCUCGCGCCCCAGACCGCCUCCACCCAUGACGCCCUAGCCAUCUCCACUCGCCUCCACGACCAACCAUGCCCCCGACGCCGUCACGGAGUGCUCACCUCACCUAGACCCAUUCGUCGUCGACGCCGCCGUGGAUGUGGGGGAUGACAACAGAGCGGGGAACGCCUCUCCUCCUCCGCCGCCGCCGCUUCCUCCCCCUCCUUCUGUGGCAGUGACGCAGUCCGCUACACCGACAUGGGCCUCGUCCCUCCCAACGGCGGUGGCUACACCUGUAUGGCCGUAUGUGCCUGGCCCCUCUCGACAGCAGCAAUCUGGCUGCAGCUCUCUCCAGAUCUGCCCUCACCCGAUUGGGACUCGCCGCUGGCGCUGACUGAGUCCCCGACCUCGCCUCGCCUGGCUAUCGCAACACCACCCUACCCCUUCCCCGCCUCGCUGCUGCAUUCAAUUUUGGUAUGUUCCUGUUGUGCUUACCCGUGGAUUUGUAUACUAUCUCGACCUGAGUUUUAUUGUGCAUUUAUCAGAUUCUGGAUCGAAUAUUGUAGCCGUAUUUUUAUCACUAAAUGUUAUAGUGAUACAUUAAUUGCUUGUGGAAUUAACAUACAUUUUUCUUACAGAGCGCACACUUGAUUAACUUACAGACAUCUUAUUAGACUUUCUUAACAAUGCUAAUUCAAAAUUUCUACCAAAAUUUAUUCAAACAAAAGGGAUUCCUACCUCAAUUUAAUGAUGUAUGCUCUUUUGUCAACAAAUUUAUGUUCAGCAUUACUCUACAUAGAAGUUAUCAUGGUCUAUAAAUAAACUAAGUCUCUGUAUAAAGUAUGUUUGGUAACAUAUGUACCUUCAAAAAUAAUUUCAUCCUAGAAUGGUGCGCCAAAAUCUUCCACACCUGAAGCAGAGAACAUAUGCAGUUGUUUUCUUAUGUGUGAAUGUGUUUGCUAAAGUCUGUUUGGUACUAAUUUGUUUGAACCCUGCUGUUUGGCUUAAUGUAGUACCUGGUGAUAGAACAUAUACAAGUUUUGCUAAAGUCUGUUUGCCUUAAUCCAAUAGUUGAUUGUGGAUACCUCUGGAAUUCCCAGUUGGCUUAAUUCAAGCUAAAGCCAGAGCUCUGAAUUUGGUUCGCUUCUUCUCUGUUCUACUUUUGGUAGGUCAGAUUAGAUUUCUUUUGUCCCUUGAGAAACAAAACGACAUUUCCUCUGUUCUACUAAUGUCAUGAAAAUAGUCUGUUCCUUUGAACCCUUGGCAAAUGAGUCUUUACUCUUUGGCAUAUAUUUUGGUUUUUGUACUCAUUUUCUCUACACGUUCCUUUCUUAUUUUUAGAUCAUUGUUUGUAGAAGCUAAGCUAAGGACAUUUCUGUGGGCUUUCUUGAUCCAAAAUUGAUGUCACUGGAUAGCAUAAAGUUUGAAAGAGCAAUUGUUCUACAGUAUGUGCAAAAGGCCUGUUCUACUGGAUUGGUUACUUGAAUUACAUCUUUUACAUUGAUAUUUUAUACUGUACUGUACAUUGUACUAUGCCAAGUUUUCUUUCUGACCGAAGUUCUAAUCUUGACACAGGAAUUUGAAGUGCUGACGAAGC